rnacentral:misc_RNA from 1 species
ACUUGUGUGAAACCGGCCUUCUUAAACCAUUCUAUAUAUUCUUCUUCUUUUGGAAAGAGCAUCCACACAUCUGCAAAGAAACGAGAUAACCAAAAUGUUGGGUACACCGGACCAAUCAGGCAGGCAACCCCACCUAUGGUUAGUACCCGAUAAGCUUCCUUGAUACCACGCUGUGGAUCUGGCCAAUACUCAAUGCUUCCAGCUGAAAUAUAUCUAUCAAAAGUAUCAGUAGGAAAUGGGAGAUCCUCAGCAUCUCCUUCAAGUAUCUUGCACUCUUUCAAUGGCUCCUUCUGCCUAGCCUUAGCAAGCUGAUGAGGUGAUUGAUCAAUAAUAGUCACAUUUUUAGCAUCAACAUGCUUAACAAUCCCAAGAGUAGUAAAUCCAGUUCCACCACCAACAUCCACCACUUGCAAAUUCCUUGCGUGUAGCUCAGCAGGUUCAAGUGCUUCAUCUCUCAUAUCUUCAGUCCAAUGCCCAGGAUUUAUGACAUGGUCAUACACAAUAGACAAGAACCUGUAGAACCAAAAUGCCUCUUUUUUGUGUUGUAUGAAUCUUGGUUGAGAAGCUGGCCUUGAAGCAGACAAACUGCAUUUGGUGGGUCUUAGAGUUCUUGUUGCUCUCAAAUUAACAAAACCCUUUUGGGGUAAACACUUUAGAUUCAGUUCUGACCCAAGAAAUGAUGAGCCAGAUGGAGAAAUUCCACUAAGAAGCUUGAAAUUAUCAGAUCCACUCAGUAUUGAAGACGCCAUGAAAGUAUUUUUAUAGCUUUGAAGAUGUAAUUUUUACAAUACUUCAAGCUAAAAGAAGCUAAACCCAGAUGCUAUAUCUUCAAAUUCAUCAAUUUCGAUAAGUUUUUCUGCAAUUUUAAUGAAAUUUUUAAAAAGUUGAAGAAGAA